rnacentral:rRNA from 1 species
GAUGAACGCUGGCGGCGUGCCUAAUACAUGCAAGUCGAACGAGGUGCUUUUGUAGCAAUACGAGAGUAUCCUAGUGGCGAACGGGUGAGUAACGCGUUGGUGACCUACCCCAAAGUGUGGGAUAACAGUCCGAAAGGAUUGCUAAUACCGCAUGUGGUCAUUGGAUUUAGAAACUGAUGACUAAAGGAGCAAUUCGCUUUGGGAGGGACCUGCGUCCCAUCAGCUAGUUGGUGAGGUAACGGCUCACCAAGGCGACGACGGGUAGGGGACCUGAGAGGGUGACCCCCCAAAAUGGAACUGAAACACGGUCCAUACACCUACGGGUGGCAGCAGUAGGGAAUAUUGCUCAAUGGGCGAAAGCCGGAGUCAGCAACGCCGCGUGCGUGAUGAAGGUCUUCGGAUCGUAAAGCGCUUUUCUGGGAGAUGAGAAAGGACAGUAUCCCAGGAAUAAGUCUCGGCUAACUACGUGCCAGCCGCCGCAGUAAGAC